UACGUAGGGUGCGAGCGUUGUCCGGAAUUAUUGGGCGUAAAGAGCUCGUAGGCGGUUUGUCGCGUCUGCUGUGAAAUCCCGAGGCUCAACCUCGGGUCUGCAAUGGAUACUGGCAGGCUGGAGUAUGGUAGAGGAAGGUGGAAUUCCCGGUGUAGCAGUGAAAUGCGUAGAGAUCGGGAGGAACACCAGUGGCGAAGGCGGCCUUCUGGACCAAUACUGACGCUCAUGCACGAAAGCGUGGGGAGCAAACAGG
rnacentral:rRNA from 1 species